GAAUCCCACAGGCCGUAAACCCAAGGUUGCCAGGGGAAGGUUCGUCCACCCUGUGAUAGUCGGGACCUAAGCUGAGGCCGAAAGGCGUAGGUGAUGGACAACAGGUUGCUAUUCCUGUACUACCGAUAGCCGUUUGAGAGAAGGGAUGACACAGUAGGAUAAGCUAAGCACACUGUUGGUUAUGUGUGCCCAAGCAUUGAGGCAGUCAAAGUAGGCAAAUCCGCUUUGAUAAUGCU
rnacentral:rRNA from 1 species